rnacentral:rRNA from 1 species
UGCUCCAAGAGUUUAUAUAUGUGUUGCUGCAGUUGAAAAGCUCGUAGUUGGGGUUCAAAUGUGAUGAGGUGGUGGUUCUGGCGUUUGGGAUUCUGUCCCUGCCUGUUAAAUUCACUCUGUGUUGCCACCCCCAUCCACUUUUUUUUGUUCAUGUAAGGGUGGGUUUUCUCACCUCUACAUUUGAACGUGUUACUUUGAGUAAAUCUGAGUGUUCAAAGCAGACGGAAAAUAUCCCGUCUUGAAAGUUGUAGCAUGGAAUAACGUGAUAGGACUCCGGUGGCCCUUUUCAGUUGGUCUAAGCCGUUCCGGAGUAAUGACUAAGAGGGACAGUCGGGGGCACUCGUACUUCCUUGUCAGAGGUGAAAUUCUUGGAUUUAGGAAAGACGAACCACUGCGAAAGCAUUUGCCAAGGAUGUUUUCA